AUCCCUUGGCCAUGAGCAAAGAGACGGCAUGUUGGUGUUGCUGUUAUAUCAGUCGGGGACAGUGCCGUUGGCAGCGAUCCUUUGCUCAUCCUAGCUUGAUGUCUGGCUUGGUGGCCAAGGCUGUUUUAUACCUAGGGUACAUUA